rnacentral:rRNA from 1 species
CAGCCGCCGCGGGAAUACGUAGGUGGCAAGCGUUAUCCGGAAUUAUUGGGCGUAAAGAGUGCGUAGGUGGUCUACUAAGCGCGAGGUGAAAGGCAAUGGCUCAACCAUUGUUAGCCUUGCGAACUGGCAGACUUGAGUGCAAGAGAGGAAAGCGGAAUUCCUAGUGUAGCGGUGAAAUGCGCAGAUAUUAGGAGGAACACCGGCGGCGAAGGCGGCUUUCUGGAUUGUAACUGACACUGAGGCACGAAAGCGUGGGUAGCAAACAGGAUUAGAUACCCGAGUAGUCCCUGUCUCUUAUACA